rnacentral:rRNA from 1 species
GGACCCGCACAAGCGGUGGAGUAUGUGGUUUAAUUCGAUGCAACGCGAAGAACCUUACCAGGGUUUGACAUCCUGCGAAUCUCUUGGAAACAGGAGAGUGCCUUCGGGAACGCAGUGACAGGUGGUGCAUGGCUGUCGUCAGCUCGUGUCGUGAGAUGUUGGGUUAAGUCCCGCAACGAGCGCAACCCCAGUCUUUAGUUGCCAGCAUUUAGUUGGGCACUCUAGAGAGACUGCCGUGAUAAACCGGAGGAAGGUGUGGAUGACGUCAAGUCAUCAUGCCCCUUACAUCUGGGCUACACACGUACUACAAUGCUACGGACAAAGGGCAGCAAGUUCGCGAGGACAAGCAAAUCCAAUCAAAACGUGGCUC